AAGUUUUAUGCUGCAGAAAUGCUGCAAGAGAAGUUUGCCACAAAGGACGCCAGUCAGGGCAGGAAGAGGGCUGGCACUACCAGAAAUAUGCUUUUAUAUGAUGUGACAGACAACACUCCUGCUUUUAUUAAGCAAUUAAUAAAAGACCACGGCAACACAAUUGCUGAAGUACCUCGGGUUUGUUGGAGAUAAGGAGCCAUUCACCUCCACCCAGUUCAAAAACUUUGUUGACGAACUGCGACAGAGAGGUGUGGGGGUGAGUGGCCUUAUCACCAAUGUCGAAUGCAUUGCAAAGUCUCUAGUAGACUCGAAGGAGAAGGAUCUCGAGGACUUCAUCACGGAACUAAAGCAGUUCCUCAUGGAACAAAGGGUUAUUAAAAAGACGAACCUUAAGAAGGAGAAAAGACUCCUCUGCCCUCAGAGUCAGGCAAUAGAGAAGUUCCUCUCGUCACAAGAUGUCACAAAAGU